AGAGGACUCUUUAUUAGUAUCCACGACAAAGGGCAUAUUGCUUCAGUUCUUAAUGCGUGGCCAGAAGAUGUUGUCAAGGCUAUUGUGGUAACUGAUGGAGAGCGUAUCCUCGGCUUGGGAGACCUGGGUUGUAAUGGGAUGGGCAUCCCUGUGGGCAAACUGGCCCUGUACACAGCAUGUGGAGGGGUGAACCCACAGCACUGUCUGCCUGUUACUUUGGACGUGGGAACAGAAAAUGAGGAGUUACUUAAAGAUCCACUGUACAUUGGCCUGCGGCAGAGGAGAGUCCGAGGUCCUGAAUAUGACAAGUUUUUGGAUGAAUUCAUGGAGGCAGUUUCUUCCA